CAGCAGCCGCGGUAAUACGUAGGUGGCAAGCGUUAUCCGGAAUUAUUGGGCGUAAAGCGCGCGUAGGCGGUUUUUUAAGUCUGAUGUGAAAGCCCACGGCUCAACCGUGGAGGGUCAUUGGAAACUGGAAAACUUGAGUGCAGAAGAGGAAAGUGGAAUUCCAUGUGUAGCGGUGAAAUGCGCAGAGAUAUGGAGGAACACCAGUGGCGAAGGCGGCUUUCUGGUCUGCAACUGACGCUGAUGUGCGAAAGCGUGGGGAUCAAACAGGAUUAGAUACCCGGGUAGUCCCUGUCUCUUAUAC
rnacentral:rRNA from 1 species